GACGAACGCUGGUGGCGUGCCUAAUACAUGCAAGUAGAACGCUGAAGAGAGGAGUUUGCUCUUCUUGGAUGAGUUGCGAACGGGUGAGUAACGCGUAGGUAACCUGCCUGGUAGCGGGGGAUAACUAUUGGAAACGAUAGCUAAUACCGCAUAAAAUUGAUUAUUGCAUGAUAAUUAAUUGAAAGAUGCAAUUGCAUCACUACCAGAUGGACCUGCGUUGUAUUAGCUAGUUGGUGAGGUAACGGCUCACCAAGGCGACGAUACAUAGCCGACCUGAGAGGGUGAUCGGCCACACUGGGACUGAGACACGGCCCAGACUCCUACGGGAGGCAGCAGUAGGGAAUCUUCGGCAAUGGGGGGAACCCUGACCGAGCAACGCCGCGUGAGUGAAGAAGGUUUUCGGAUCGUAAAGCUCUGUUGUAAGAGAAGAACGGGUGUGAGAGUGGAAAGUUCACACUGUGACG
rnacentral:rRNA from 1 species